rnacentral:rRNA from 1 species
GACGAACGCUGGCGGCGUGCUUAACACAUGCAAGUCGAACGGAAAGGCCCUGCUUUUGUGGGGUGCUCGAGUGGCGAACGGGUGAGUAACACGUGAGUAACCUGCCCUUGACUUUGGGAUAACUUCAGGAAACUGGGGCUAAUACCGGAUAGGAGCUCCUGCUGCAUGGUGGGGGUUGGAAAGUUUCGGCGGUUGGGGAUGGACUCGCGGCUUAUCAGCUUGUUGGUGGGGUAGUGGCUUACCAAGGCUUUGACGGGUAGCCGGCCUGAGAGGGUGGACGGGCACAAUGGUACUGAGAUACGGACCAGACUCGUACGGGAGGCAGCAGUGGGGAAUCUUGCACAAUGGGCGGAAGCCUGAUGCAGCAACGCCGCGUGCGGGAUGACGGCCUUCGGGUUGUAAACCGCUUUCGCCUGUGACGAAGCGUGAGUGACGGUAAUGGGUAAAGAAGCACCGGCUAACUACGUG